UUAUUUAUUUUCAUUUUACUUAAAAUAUAUGUUUUUGUUAAGUUAACAUAUGUUUUUCUAAUCAAGUCUACGUAAUUGUGUCUAUUAUUCAACGUACAUAAUACUAAUGUGUUACUUGAUCGCAUAACAUUUAAGUUAAGUCAAUUAGGAUCGAUAUACCUUGUAUAUCCACAAGGUGGCAGUAAUGCAAAAACAGUUGUAAUGAAACCGCGCAGAACAAGAAGGUUUCACGGCUUGUGCCUGCUCAUGCGCAAGACUUCAAAUUUAACUGAAAAAGGCUGUUUUGGCGCCAAGCUGCUGUUUCUUUGAGAGAUCCUGCCUUUACCUGCUCCCUCCUAUACUGAUGUGGUGUAUGUGGUAUUGCUGAGCUUGUAUGUGGUGGAAGCAGAAUAUGUGAGGAUUACUACUGCUGCACAUGUUCCAAGGCUUUUUACACAACUUGACCAAUACACUGACCAGCUCAUAAAAGUCUUCAAGAAAAAAGGAGGCGUUGCAGGGAAGAAAAUUAGACAAACUUUGGCCCCAGCCACACAGGUGCGUUAUUCUGUUGGUAGCAAAAUAUUAUGGCUAAUAAGAUCAUUUUCAAAUUUAAACAGCUAGUGUAUGGUAGCUGCACAGUGCACUUACAUUUAUAUUAAGCAAGACAAAGUUUGGUACUCAAAACGUUGGAAAAUUUAAAUUACCUAAACAUAUGUAAAAUCUGAUCCCUUGAUUUAGGUUAAACCAGAAGUGAAUGUUUUUAUGUUAUGUUUUGAAUGCAAAAAAGAUGAUGUAUUAGUUUGUCUUUACCUCCAUUAUGGACAUAUAUAAUGUGGUGGAAACCCUG